rnacentral:rRNA from 1 species
AGCAGCCGCGGUAAUUCCAGCUCCAAUAGCGUAUAUUAAAGUUGUUGCAGUUAAAAAGCUCGUAGUUGAAUUUCGGGAUCAAUAUGUUGGUCGUGCCUCGGUACGUACUAGCUUAUUGGUUUCUCCUUUCUGAAGAACCAUGAUGUCAUUUAUUUGGUGUCGUGGGGAAUCAGGACUGUUACUUUGAAAAAAUUAGAGUGUUUAAAGCAGGCUCACGCUUGAAUACAUUAGCAUGGAAUAAUGAAAUAGGACGUUUGAUUCUAUUUUGUUGGUUUCUAGGAUCGACGUAAUGAUUAAUAGGGAUAGUUGGGGGCAUUAGUAUUCAAUUGUCAGAGGUGAAAUUCUUGGAUUUAUUGAAGACUAACUACUGCGAAAGCAUUUGCCAAGGAUGUUUUCAUUAAUCAAGAACGAAAGUUAGGGGAUCGAAGACGAUCAGAUACCGUCGUAGUCUUAACCAUAAACUAUGCCGACUAGGGAUCGGAUGAUGUUAAUUUUUAA